UACGAAGGGGGCUAGCGUUGCUCGGAAUUACUGGGCGUAAAGCGCACGUAGGCGGAUUGUUAAGUCGGGGGUGAAAUCCUGGAGCUCAACUCCAGAACUGCCUUUGAUACUGGGGAGCUCGAGUCCGGAAGAGGUGAGUGGAACUCCGAGUGUAGAGGUGAAAUUCGUAGAUAUUCGGAAGAACACCAGUGGCGAAGGCGGCUCACUGGUCCGGUACUGACGCUGAGGUGCGAAAGCGUGGGGAGCAAACGGG
rnacentral:rRNA from 1 species